rnacentral:rRNA from 1 species
AACGCUAGCGGCAGGCCUAACACAUGCAAGUCGAGGGGUAACAGGGAGCUUGCUCCGCUGACGACCGGCGCACGGGUGCGCACCGCGUAUGGAACCUACCUUUUACAGGGGAAUAGCCCAGGGAAACUUGGAUUAAUGCCCCGUGGUACUAUUAUGUGGCAUCACAUUAUAGUUAAAGCCUUCGGGCGGUAGAAGAUGGCCAUGCGUCCCAUUAGUUUGUUGGUAAGGUAACGGCUUACCAAGACUACGAUGGGUAGGGGCCCUGAGAGGGGGAUCCCCCACACUGGUACUGAGACACGGACCAGACUCCUACGGGAGGCAGCAGUGAGGAAUAUUGGACAAUGGAGGAGACUCUGAUCCAGCCAUGCCGCGUGCAGGAAGAAUGCCCUAUGGGUAGUAAACUGCUUUUAUACAGGAAGAAAAAGGGGCACGUGUGCCCUACUGACGGUACUGUAAGAAUAAGGACCGGCUAACUCCGUGCCAGCAGCCGCGGUAAUACGGAGGGUCCGAGCGUUAUCCGGAAUUAUUGGGUUUAAAGGGUCCGUAGGCGGGCGAUUAAGUCAGUGGUGAAAGUCUGUAGCUCAACUAUAGAAUUGCCUUUGAUACUGAUUGUCUUGAGUUAUAGUGAAGUUGCCGGAAUAUGUAGUGUAGCGGUGAAAUGCAUAGAUAUUACAUAGAACACCGAUUGCGAAGGCAGGUGACUAACUAUAUACUGACGCUGAUGGACGAAAGCGUGGGGAGCGAACAGGAUUAGAUACCCUGGUAGUCCACGCCGUAAACGAUGGAUACUAGCUGUCCGGAACCUUGAGUUCUGGGCGGCCAAGCGAAAGUGAUAAGUAUCCCACCUGGGGA